rnacentral:lncRNA from 10 species
UUUUGCUGUUUUUGUUUAGCACUCUAGCUUGGAGAGCAUUAUGUUGAACAAAACAAGCCAACCAACAAUUUUGUUUGUGUUUUUUAAAAAGUUGAACUUGUAAUGUCUAUGCAAUCAUAUAUUCCACUCUUUCUCAUGAUCACUAUCCAACAUUCGUCCAGGUAUUUCAAACACUUCCCUGACCCCUUCUGUUAUGACUCUACGAUAUUCCACCACGUGGGUGUACAUAACUGUGGCUGGGUGUUCAGAUGACUUCUCACUAGCAGAGCUCAGAUGUCAGAAAGAAUCCACAGUAAACCCAGAAAAGGAAGAGGAAGCAUGUGACCAAGGACAGGCACCAAUGCCAAGGAAGUGGGGGUCCCGAAGAGCCCUGAGUUAGGGCAAAAACACCAAAGAAAGGAGGAACGAGAUGACAGACAGGGGCUGGGCCACCACCUAGAGGAGGAUGGCUAAACAUGAGCAAGGUAACUGAUGAUGAUUUGCGCAAAAUCGCCAAGUUAACUGUGUUCUGUCUUUUCUACCAGGUAGAACAAUCUUUUACAAUGGAAAAGAUGAAAUUAAAGGGGAUGGGAAGCCAUUCCCUGAGCAACUCCCAUGACCCAGGAGAGAGCCCACACUCACCAUCUUACUGGACUCUCACAUCAAAAGAGGGGACCAGGCUUCGCCCAUGA